AGCACUGCAGGUGCUCCCCUUCUGCUGCAAGUGGGCUGGGACACAGCCUGCAGAGGCCAAAGCAGGGGUUAAAGCUGAGACCACUGUGGUUCCCAGUCACCCCCCAGUGAGCUGGCAGAACCAGCUGCACAUCCACCCUGCUUUGUGAGCACACCGUGGCAUUGUUGGCUGUGCCCUGUCACCUCACAGAUGAGACAAGGAUGUGCCAGGGUGGGGAGAAGAGGAAGUGGAGUCAGUGCUGUGUAGUCUGCCCUCUCUGCAUGGCCAGCUUGGAGGCCACAAUCCAUGUGUGAGAGCCACUGGUGCACAGCACAGAUCUUAUUUUUUUCAUAAAAAUAUUUCAUUUCAGUAGCUUCCCCUGGUUUAGAUGUUUCUGUAUACAAGGUCUCAGAAGUCUGUUUCUGAAACGGUAAUGCAUAGGAGGAGUAGUGUCUGGUUCUGACUUAACUACCCACAGACACUCUUAGGCAUGCAUGGAUUGCAGACAAAAGCUCUGAUAUCACAUCAUCACUCUCCAGCUGACAUUUCUGCACCAGUGUGUGAAGUCCCAUUGAUUUCAGUGGCUGUGGGCAAAAGUAAUUGGUGUCCAGAGGAGAUUUAGAUCCAGAGUCAUGACCAAGGAUGGAAGAUCUGCCUGUUUUCAGCUAGGCAUAAUGGAAAUGAAAGAAGAUUAAAACAGGGAAGCUGA